UUUUGUGUGUGUGUGUGUGUGUGAGUGUGUAGAAUGACUUUUGUACGUCCUCCACCAUCACCACCACAGAGAUUUUUACGCCAACCUCUUAUUUUUUAACUUUUAUUUUUAUUGCAUGACAUGCUUGUGUUUCUGGUGGUACGUCUUUUGCUGCAGCACCUGAGUUCUCCCUGAGUUCGCAUGCUGGGCUACACAGCUCAACGUUCCCAUGCACCAGGUGGGAUCAGAGGCCAGGAUGGUUACAUUUCCCCACCUGCUGGUCUGUGAUGUCACCUGUGUGUUGCGGCGCCACCGCAGCACACUUGGAAAGUGCCCCGGGGCAUAGCACAGGUCUUAUUCCGGCCCGGUAGAGGUGAGCGUUGGUGUGCAGUCUUCUGCUGUGUAUCUCACUUGUGCAUAAGUUCAGGGGUUUCUAUGAUACUAGUUGUGUUGUAAAUACUAUCUUGUCACUCAGUACCUCUGUACAAUCUGUAAAUAAGUAAAGGUUACAUUUUUCUACUU